ACGGAGGAUCCAAGCGUUAUCCGGAUUUAUUGGGUUUAAAGGGUGCGUAGGCGGCCUGUUAAGUCAGGGGUGAAAGACGGUGGCUCAACCAUCGCAGUGCCCUUGAUACUGAUGGGCUUGAUUACACUUGAGGUAGGCGGAAUGUGACAAGUAGCGGUGAAAUGCAUAGAUAUGUCACAGAACACCGAUUGCGAAGGCAGCUUACUAAGGUGUCAAUGACGCUGAGGCACGAAAGCGUGGGGAUCAAACAGGA
rnacentral:rRNA from 1 species